rnacentral:rRNA from 1 species
CAAUAGCGUAUAUUUAAGUUGUUGCAGUUAAAAAGCUCGUAGUUGGAUUUCGGGUGGGACGCAGCGGUCUCGCAUUGCGUUUGUACUGCUGCAGCCCUCCUUCUGGCCGGGGGCGGCCUCUCGGACUUCACUGUCUGGGGGUCAGAAUCGGCGAUGUUACUUUGAGUAAAUUAGAGUGUUCAAAGCAAGCUUACGCUCUGAAUAUAAUAGCAUGGGAUAACACGACAGGACUCUGGCCUAUCGUGUUGGUCUAUAGGACCAGAGUAAUGAUUAAGAGGGACAGUCGGGGGCAUUCGUAUUCCGUUGUCAGAGGUGAAAUUCUUGGAUUUACGGAAGACGAACAUCUGCGAAAGCAUUUGCCAAGGAUGUUUUCAUUGA